AGCAGUAGCCACGGUAAUACGAAGGGGGCUAGCGUUGUUCGGAUUUACUGGGCGUAAAGCGCACGUAGGCGGAUCCUUAAGUCAGAGGUGAAAUCCCAAGGCUCAACCUUGGAACUGCCUUUGAUACUGGGGAUCUCGAGUUCGGGAGAGGUGAGUGGAACUGCGAGUGUAGAGGUGAAAUUCGUAGAUAUUCGCAAGAACACCAGUGGCGAAGGCGGCUCACUGGCCCGAUACUGACGCUGAGGUGCGAAGGCGUGGGGAGCAAACAGGAUUAGAUACCCCAGUAGUCCCUGUCUCUUAUAC
rnacentral:rRNA from 1 species